rnacentral:rRNA from 1 species
UACGGAGGGGGUUAGCGUUGUUCGGAAUACUGGGCGUAAAGCGUACGUAGGCGGAUCAGAAAGUUGGGGGUGAAAUCCCGGGGCUCAACCCCGGAACUGCUCCAAACUCCUGGUCUUGAGUUCGAGAGAGGUGAGUGGAAUUCCAAGUGUAGAGGUGAAAUUCGUAGAUAUUUGGAGGAACACCAGUGGCGAAGGCGGCUCACUGGCUCGAUACUGACGCUGAGGUACGAAAGUGUGGGGAGCAAACAGGAUUAGAUACCCCCGUAGUCC